CCUACGGGAGACAGCAGUGGGGAAUAUUGCACAAUGGAGGAAACUCUGAUGCAGCAACGCCGCGUGAAUGAAGGAGCGUUUCGGCGCGUAAAGCUCUGUCAGCGUGGAAGUAGAAUGACGGUACCCGACCAAGAAGCCCCGGCUAACUACGUGCGAGCAGCCGCGGUAAUACGGAGGGGGCGAGCGUUAUCCGGAAUUACUGGGUGUAAAGGGAGCGUAGACGGCGAGGUAAGCCUGAAGUGGAAGCUCGCGGCUCAACCGCAGAACUGCAUUUGGAACUGUCAGGCUGGAGUACGGGAGGGGUGAGCGGAAUUCGUGGUGUAGCGGUGAAAUGCGUAGAUAUCAGGAGGAACACCGGUGGCGAAGGCGGCUUACUGGACUGUAACUGACGUUGAGGCUCGAAAGUGUGGGGAGCGAACAGGAUUAGAUACCCGUGUAGUC
rnacentral:rRNA from 1 species